AGAAAGUUAGUCUAAAAAAGACAGUUGAUUUCGACUCAACAAACCAUAGCUUAAACCUAUGACUUUCUC
rnacentral:tRNA from 1 species